UGGUAAGGCAUGGUAUGGUAUGUAAUGGUCUGGUCUGGUGAUCCUAGGCAGUCUCCUGAGCACCGCGCGGUCCGUGCAGCGCUCAGACUGCGUCGUCGACCCUCAGCAGAGCUCCGCGCUGAGGAGGCGAGUCCCUCCCAGACCAGCCGCGGCGCAGCGCACUCGGUCGCUGGGAUCGCUCUGCUACUCUGCUCCGAAGACGGCGGUUAUCACCACCGGCGUGGAUAUCACCGCGAGCCGCUGCCUGUCGAAGUUAAUGACGACGACCAGAUUCUGGGGCCGCUCGUUACGGAGACCCAGCUGGACCUGGAACCGAGAGGCGAAGCGAAGGGCGGCCAGCAGCCACUGCUGCAGUGCAGCGGUCAGGCCUCCCGGGUUUCGGUCCAUAGUUUGUCGCGGUCCGAAGUGUGCAAGACGACCCGUCCCGGAGGAGAUGAUAGCACGGGGAAAUAACAGCGGCUGCAGCAAUUAUCCCGAGUUCAAACUGCUGGAGGAGACCGGACAUCCAUGGAGUCGACGAGAAGUGAAGAACCAGCCCGGGCUCCUGGCUUUAAGGGGCUGCCAUUUAGCAUCCGAGCACGGCUAGCUAUCCAACCACGGUUGGAUUGUUAGCCGUUAGUUGGAUAUCCAGCCACGGCUAACAAUCCAACGGCUAACUAGCUAACGGCUAACUAGCUAACGGCUAACUAUCCAACGGCUAAUAUCCGACCGAAGGCUUAAGCGGUUGAAUAUGGAGGACUUUGUUAAACUAAAGAUAACAGAAUGGCAACCUCCAGAGCUGAUGGACCCUUUUGAAGGCUCCAGAGACUCCACCUGAGGGUUCUGCUGAGCCCGAUGCUGCCUGCAGUCUUCAGGAUGGGCCAGAAGACCUUGAGGACCGACUCCACGAAGGCCUUCAUCCAUCUCCAGCCUGUCAGAACAGACAGCAGAGCAGACCAGGACAUAUACCCCCCCCCCCCAGGAGUGCUGCUCUCAGCCAAUCAGCGUUCUCAGAGGGCGGACCCUGGACCAGGACACAGAGGUCCAAGCUGUGGUUUUUGGAAAUGCUCGUGUGAUUAGGGAAAUGGACUUGUUAUGGUUAUUCCAGUUUCUCUCUUUAAAUGAAUGAAAUAUUGUUCAAUAAAAUCAGUGACAUUAA